rnacentral:tRNA from 6 species
GCCUCCUUAGCUCAGCUGGUAGAGCAACUGACUUGUAAUCAGUAGGUCGCUGGUUCGAUUCCGGCAGGGGGCU